rnacentral:miRNA from 1 species
GAGAGUUGACUGGAUAUUACCAGUCAAAAGAGCAAAAACUCUCAUUAUCUUUCAUCAAAAUUUCAAUCAGCUUAAAACCACCUAAAUGAGAGUUGGAUUUCUCAUCAACGCUUGCCAACUUUGAGCUGGUUGAAAUUUUAAUGAGAGUUUAUACUCGUUUGACCGGUAUUGUCCAGUAAACUCUC